rnacentral:rRNA from 1 species
CGGAGAUUCAGCAAUGGAUCUUAGUGGCGAACGGGUGAGUAACGCGUAGGCAAUCUGCCUUCUAGAUGGGGACAACAUCCCGAAAGGGGUGCUAAUACCGAAUGUUGUACCGUUUCCGCAUGGAGAUGAUACUAAAGGUGGCCUCUGAAUAUGCUACCGCUAGAAGAUGAGCCUGCGUCUGAUUAGCUAGUUGGAGGGGUAACGGCCCACCAAGGCUUCGAUCAGUAGCCGGUCUGAGAGGAUGAACGGCCACACUGGGACUGAGACACGGCCCAGACUCCUACGGGAGGCAGCAGUGGGGAAUCUUCCGCAAUGGACGAAAGUCUGACGGAGCAACGCCGCGUGAGUGAAGAAGGUUUUCGGAUCGUAAAGCUCUUUCGUUAGGGACGAACGUGCUCUUUGUGAAUAAUGAGGAGUAAUGACGGUACCUAAAUAAGAAGCCACGGCUAACUACGUGCCAGCAGCCGCGGUAAUACGUAGGUGGCAAGCGUUGUCCGGAAUUAUUGGGCGUAAAGCGCGCGCAGGCGGGAUAUCAAGUCUGUCUUAAAAGUGCGAGGCUCAACCUCGUGAGGGGACGGAAACUGGUAUUCUUGAGUGUCGGAGAGGAAAGUGGAAUUCCAAGUGUAGCGGUG